GUCCACGCCCUAAACGAUGUCAACUAGGUGUUGGGUAGGAGACUUCCUUAGUACCGCAGCUAACGCGUGAAGUUGACCGCCUGGGGAGGUACGGCCGCAAGGUUGAAACUCAAAGGAAUUGACGGGGACCCGGCACAAGCGGUGGAUUAUGUGGAUUAAUUCGAUGCAACGCGAAAAACCUUAACCUACCCUUGACAUGCCGAGAAUCCCGAAGAGAUUUGGGAGUGCCCGAAAGGGAACUUGGACACAGGUGCUGCAUGGCUGUCGU
rnacentral:rRNA from 1 species